CUGUGUUCUUUCUAUUCCAUCCACUCAACUGUACAUUCGGGAAAGAUGGCGCUUCCUGUGUGGGAAAUGGCUUGGGUUCCUCCUCUCAAAAGGCAACAGCAAAUUCACGAGACGACAUCGUUAAUUGCCAUAAAAAGCUUGGUUCCGUGGGAUGAGUUCUCUGCCUGGCUGCUCAACCCCCACACUGCCACAUGGCCAAGUCCC